UAGGGAAUCUUCGGCAAUGGACGAAAGUCUGACCGAGCAACGCCGCGUGAGUGAAGAAGGUUUUCGGAUCGUAAAACUCUGUUGUUAGAGAAGAACAAGGACGUUAGUAACUGAACGUCCCCUGACGGUAUCUAACCAGAAAGCCACGGCUAACUACGUGCCAGCAGCCGCGGUAAUACGUAGGUGGCAAGCGUUGUCCGGAUUUAUUGGGCGUAAAGCGAGCGCAGGCGGUUUCUUAAGUCUGAUGUGAAAGCCCCCGGCUCAACCGGGGAGGGUCAUUGGAAACUGGGAGACUUGAGGGCAGAAGAGGAGAGUGGAAUUCCAUGUGUAGCGGUGAGAUGCGUAGAUAUAUGGAGGAACACCAGUGGCGAAGGCGGCUCUCUGGUCGGUAACUGACGCUGAGGCUCGAAAGCGUGGGGAGCAAACAGG
rnacentral:rRNA from 1 species